rnacentral:lncRNA from 1 species
GGAAAUUUCGAGACCUAUGAAUUUUGUACGCGAGUUCUUGUCAAAAUCUCACCUUCCUGACUUUCAUCGUCUAAGGAAACCAACACAUAAUGCGAGGGACAUUUGAUGGAAUUUCCUCCCACUUUAACCUCGACCACCACAGGAAUAUCAUGUUCUGUCCCUUCAGGUACGUUAGUCCAGUCAUCCACGACAUGCAGCGGGAAGAAUCGUUUCCAGUCCUCUAUAAGUUUGCUCACUCCGACACCAUUUUGUUGAUAGCUACGCCCUGUCAGACUGCCCUGUAUGCCGUACGGACCGAGAAUGACU